GACAUCACCCAUUUGUUCACAGAGCGGAACUGCAGACGGUGACUUCAGUACCCACUGCCUCCCCCCCCCAACCCCCAACGCAGGAAGCUACAGGCCAACAACCCUUCAGCCUUGGACUUCCUUCCAGACCCACUCACCAUUGCUCUGAGCUACUUUGAUCACAAAAGCACCAGGUUACAGCAUCACUAAUUGCCAAAAACUGCUUCCGGACGUGAUGUGUGGCAUCCUUGCCUCAUGCAUCAUGAAAAAUCAUCUGGUUCUUCAUCACACUUCUCAAGUCUGGCUUCCACGUGAUGGGAGCGAGGGUUUCUGACUGCAUUUCCUCCAUGUGUCUGCCCAUAUAACGCAGGGUGGCUCUACGUAACCUCCAUUUCCAAUAAAACCAAAGCCAAAUUGCAAAGAA